rnacentral:lncRNA from 1 species
AGGGCAUGGGUAACCUACCAGCAGCCAUAACUCCAAAGAAAAACGACUCUCCCUCUCUCCACAAUUAAUCAACUAAUUAACUUCCAACAGCUACUCCUCUACAGACAAGCUUGAAGCAGCCUCUCCUUUCCUGAUGGAAUUUAGGUGUUGCUGGAUCCCCAUUGGACUCCCCAUGGACCCGGGCCAAGUCUUCCUGAAGCUGAGAGGAAGCCACAGAAUCGGAGGUGAGCUGGAACUAUACUCAUGGCUCCUUUUGGGGGGGGG